UGCUACUGGAAGGGGUGGAGCCUUGCUUUACCUCUCCUAGACCCCGUUUAAGAGCUGACUACCACUAGAGAAGGGUCUUUUGGAGCUUGCUCCUCUUGGAGUCUUCUCAGUGAGCCCAGGACAAGGAAUUGAGUAGAGAAGAAGAAGUGCAUUGCUAUGUAGUACCUUGCAGGCCAGCAGCAAGACAAUGCUAUGACUCCUUUGGACUCAAGGCAGGUUGCUGAACCACUCCCUUGCCCACAGGCUGUCCAGCACAAGCAUAAAAUAGACACCAACUUUGAGAAGCACUUCAGAGCAGGUCCUCAGCACCUGUGUAAUUCAGCCCUCAGAACUCAUAAAAGGUAUUUCUGUGCUUUAAUCAAAGCACUAAUUGCUUCCAUAUUAAAACCUCCUACAUGCUGAGGUCUUACAUCUGUCCGGAGCACAUGUUUUUUUGUUGUUGUUCCUAGCUGUGGCUGUUGCUAGUUCUCUGCUCUUAGGGCCUGAGGAGUCAGUAGAUACAGAGCAGGCUUUGCAAAAGCACUUAAAACACCCACGCAGCUCUAGCCCUUGUACUGGCUCAGCUGCCCCACUUGCACGUCUUGCUGAACACAAAAGGACACAGCAUGGGAGGCACGUUCUUCCCCGCACAUCCUCAUGUUUCAGGCAGGAAGCCCUUUCUCCUGGAUACAAUUCCAGCAUUGGCUACUGAUCUCUGUGAAAAAGGCUGUGUUUCCAAAAAUCAGGGGACCUGCUACACAGAACACGUCUUGCCUGCAAUUUUUCAUGACUGCCUCCUGGGCUGGAGACCAAUGCUGUCACGGAGGAAGGCCUUCCAGUUAUUCUUCCUGCAUUUGGUAUUGUUUGUAUUUUAUAUUGUCU